GAUGAACGCUGGCGGCGUGCCUAAUACAUGCAAGUCGAGCGAACAGACGAGGAGCUUGCUCCUCUGACGUUAGCGGCGGACGGGUGAGUAACAUGUGGAUAACCUACCUAUAAGACUGGGAUAACUUCGGGAAACCGGAGCUAAUACCGGAUAAUAUAUUGAACCGCAUGGUUCAAUAGUGAAAGACGGUUUUGCUGUCACUUAUAGAUGGAUCCGCGCCGCAUUAGCUAGUUGGUAAGGUAACGGCUUACCAAGGCAACGAUGCGUAGCCGACCUGAGAGGGUGAUCGGCCACACUGGAACUGAGACACGGUCCAGACUCCUACGGGAGGCAGCAGUAGGGAAUCUGCCGCAAUGGGCGAAAGCCUGACGGAGCAACGCCGCGUGAGUGAUGAAGGUCUUCGGAUCGUAAAACUCUGUUAUUAGGGAAGAACAAAUGUGUAAGUAACUAUGCACGUCUUGACGGUACCUAAUCAGAAAGCCACGGCUAACUACGUG
rnacentral:rRNA from 1 species